rnacentral:lncRNA from 1 species
CUUUUUUUUUUUUUGUCACGGGGUUCAUUGGAUCUUGAUAACAAUUUACCUUCACCACCAAGAGGAAAAAUACAAAUGUUUACAAGUAUAAAUCUAUUAAUUUUUUUAAGAUUCUCUUCGUACGAAUGUUGCUAUGAAGGUCUAAUAAACGGAUGUAACUGCUUGUAUUAUUCAGUUUAUAAUAUUCAAAUGAUAUCCAUAUAUAUAGAAAGUAUAUUUUUUUUCCCCUUAUAAUAUGUGUAACAAAAUAGAAAUUCUUUGGCAUUAUUUAACUAUCAUGCACAAUUCACAACAUUAUUACCUAAAAUUCGAGUAGGCAGAGUUAUGCAACUCAUUUUUUUUUGGUUAACCAUUAUGAAACUCAAGUUGUUAGUGGAUUUUUAGACGCAAGUAAUCGAUCAUGUGAGUUGACCAAAAAACAUGUUGAAACGCUCUUUAAUUUUGUUAUUUAAAAUAUUAAUUAGAAUUCGUAUCGAGAAAAUAUUAAUCACUAAUUCUAAAAGAAAAAGUUUAAACUUUUCUAGGUCCAAUCUCUUAAUUAAACUAAAGUUUAUUUGAAGUUCAUAACAGCAAGGAUCGUAUGCAUGCAUUUCUCCAUAUUUCCCUAAUAGUCUUUUUUUUUUUUUUUUUUCCUCGUAUGUAGUCUUUCUAGAGUAGUCUGUCGACCAGAUGAGUUCAACAUUUUUGAUUUGAUUAAUUGGAUUUAAAAUGAAUUAGAUUUUUGGGACGCCAAAACUAACCAAUUCUAUAAAAUAAACAUGCUUUUUUUUUUUUUUUGAAAUGCAUUUUUUCAAAAAGUUUCUUCGUAAUAAGGAUUUAAGAGGUGCAUUUUAUUUUUCUAAAUGAAGUUAAAAAUCAUACGAAACUAAUUAUUUCAGUUUGAUUCAAAUACUGUCUACACCAAAAAUAAAUUGAAACGAAAAAAUACGUUUAAAAUUAUCAUCAAGUUGUUACUAUUCUUAUUAUCAAGAAGAAUACAUACAAAAAUAUGUAUAUUUAUUUCUCAAUUCUCAUGAACCCAAGAUAUCUUGAUGUGGCGAUAUCUGUUGACCCAUACGUCAACCAAACGUCAACCAAAACCCACAAAUUAUUAGUACAUUUUAAUUUUAUUUUUCAUUUUUCAUUUUCAUUUUCAUUUUUCUUACUCCUUUCAUAUUAGAAAUAUUGAUUUUCUAAGAUUUUCACUAAAAUUAAGAAAUCAAUAAAUAAUGUAUAUUUAUUAAUUACUUUUAUGUUAUAUCUUUUAAAAAAAUGAUUUCAAGCUACUUUUUAUCCCACUUACUCCAAUCAACUGAUCUUGAAAAAAAAAGACAUUAAAUAUACUACAGAAAAUUAAUCUUUUUGAUAUAAGAAUAAAACCUCAAACAUCAUUCUUUUUGAUACGGAAGAAAUAUAUAUUUAUGGAAAAAUUAAUUAGUCUGUGGAUUGGGGAAGUCUGUGUGAUGUGUAGUGUAGAGUGUAGACACCUGAUGGAUGUUUAACCACGUUACCUCAAAUUCCACAACCAUGUAUACAUUUAUUAAAUUGUCUAAGAAAAUAAUUCCUAUUAGCUUAUUAAAUAGUACUCCCCUUUGCAAUUCUAUGUUUUUUUUUUCAUCUGAACUCUUUUGUCUGUACAAUUUUCUCCAUUAACUCUUUAUAUGUUAUAAUCGUCGCAACGUGUGAAUAAACUAUAUAAAGUUUUCAAGUCAAAUUUGUAUAACAGUUAAAUAAUUUAUAUGCCUACAAAUGAAGUGAGUUAUAACCCGUGUUAAAAAAAUCGCUAGGCGCUAGUCGGGCGGUGAGGGUGCGCCUAGCGCCUAGCAAAAAAAUCGGGGAUUACACGGGGAUUAAUCGGGGAUUAGUUUUAGGGCUAUUUAAUAUUUUAAAAACAUAUUAAUCCAUUAUAAUUAAGUAAUUUAUAUAAUAUUGUUUUUAAAAUUGUAUUAAACACAUGAAAACAAGAUUUUAAUUUCAAAUUUAUGAUUUUUAUACAAAUUACGAACAUAAGUAGGACGUUUUGAAUUUUAGAUGAAAAAAAAAGUAAAAAAAAAAAAAAAAAUUGGGCUAGGCGCCGUCUAGGCGGUCUAGGCGGCCGUCUAGGCGGUCCAGGCGGACAAAAAAUCAAAAAAUCUCCGAUUUUUCUCAUCGAUUUGGCCAAAAUCGCCGCGGUGCUCCUCCGAUCAGCGCCUAGGCGGCUAGGCGGCCGAUUUUUAGAACAAGGGUUAUAACUAUAGUUUUCUCUAAAACUGGACCAAAGAGGAGCAAAACAGAAACUCCCAAGUCCCAAUGGACCUUUCAUGUUUAUGUGUAUAUACAUGAUCGUGUAGCAAAAUGCGUUGUCAUGUCUCUUCAGUGUAAUCGAUCAAUAUAAGCAACAUAUAAGUAUCACUUUUUUUUAACCUAAAUGAUUCCCACGUUGGCUGCAACCUGACAUCAUAUUUAACUAUCUUGCUUUCUUUCUCUUCUCAAGUGUAUAUCCAAAGUCAUGUAUUUUCUCUCUCAAUACGCUUUAAAUUCCUAUUUUAUCUGGUUUAUACCUGAACUAUUGAUAUAUGCCUAAAAAUAAGAUUUUGGAAACUAAAAGGAGAUAGAAACUAGUCUUCUUAAUUCGGUCUGAACCGACCACAAUUUUGAUUUUUGGGUUUAACCGACCACAAAUCUCUCUUAAUGAUUUAAAACAUUUUGGUAGUUCUUUUACUAAUUAAUAGAGUCAAUCUUCAUCUUGUAUACGUCGUUGAUAUUUGCCAUGCAAAGAAAAGGAGAUGCAAAAUAUUGAACCACUUUUCUUGUGACUAAUUAUUGUAUUUGUUGGACGAGGAUUAAUUUAUUACCAAUAAGUAAGGACCAUAUGAAAAAAUAAAAAAUAAACAAAAAUAAUGGUGGCUGCAAACUUAUCAUUCGAGAUAUAAAUAACAUUCAUAAGCAAUAUUAUUAUAUUUACUAAUUUUACAAAUACCAAUUUGCUUCAAGUCUUCUUCUCUAUUUAUACAUCUUCUUCUCCAAUCCAACAAAACACACACAUACACUUACAUCUCCAUCCUCUUGUCCUAAAAAGCUUCCCAAAUCUUUUUUUUUUCUUCUUCUACAAUCUCAAAAUUUCUUCUGUUUUCUCCUCACAACCAGACAAGCAAACUCUAAACUCUGUGGAAGAUGUAUGGAAAUAAUAACAAGAAGUCUAUCAACAUCUCGAGUAUGUUUCAAAACCUCAUCCCCGACGGCAGCGACAUUUUCUCCCGGCGUUGCAUCUGGGUCAACGGACCGGUCAUCGUUGGAGCUGGCCCAUCAGGUCUAGCCGUUGCUGCGGGAUUGAAACGUGAAGGAGUACCGUUCAUAAUCCUCGAGCGAGCUAACUGCAUUGCUUCAUUAUGGCAAAACAGAACCUACGAUCGUCUCAAACUCCAUCUCCCUAAACAGUUUUGCCAAUUACCCAAUUAUCCUUUCCCGGACGAGUUCCCUGAGUACCCUACCAAGUUUCAGUUUAUUCAGUACCUUGAGUCCUACGCAGCCAACUUUGACAUCAACCCUAAGUUCAACGAGACAGUCCAGUCCGCAAAAUACGACGAGACGUUCGGGCUGUGGCGGGUUAAGACCAUUUCGAAGAUGGGUCAGCUCGGUUCUUGCGAGUUUGAGUAUAUCUGCAGGUGGAUUGUGGUGGCCACGGGAGAGAAUGCUGAGAAAGUUGUGCCGGAUUUUGAAGGUCUAGAGGAUUUUGGCGGCGAUGUUCUCCAUGCUGGUGACUAUAAAUCUGGUGGAAGGUACCAAGGGAAAAAGGUUUUGGUGGUGGGAUGUGGAAACUCCGGUAUGGAAGUCUCUCUCGAUCUCUACAAUCACGGAGCAAACCCAUCAAUGGUCGUUCGUAGCGCUGUAAGUACCAAAAGUUUGAGUCUUUAUAUCCUCCAAAAACAGAGCAUUCUCUGUUUCUUUUACUCUGUUUUAAAAAACAGAGCAGUCCCUGAUACUCUGUUUUUUUUGUGUCCUUUCUUUUUUUUUUAUCAGGUGCAUGUUUUACCAAGAGAGAUUUUUGGGAAAUCAACGUUUGAAUUAGGAGUUACGAUGAUGAAGUAUAUGCCAGUUUGGCUCGCGGACAAGACCAUACUCUUUCUAGCGAGGAUGAUUUUAGGGAAUACCGAUAAAUACGGUCUAAAAAGGCCGAAAAUUGGACCGUUAGAGCUAAAGAACAAGGAAGGGAAAACUCCAGUACUUGACAUCGGAGCGUUACCCAAAAUCAGAUCGGGAAAGAUCAAAAUCGUCCCCGGAAUCAUAAAGUUCGGUGAAGGAAAAGUUGAACUAGUGGAUGGCCGUGUUCUUGAGAUUGAUUCCGUUAUUCUAGCUACCGGAUACAGAAGCAACGUCCCUUCAUGGCUUAAGGUAAUAAAUAAUUUAAAGAAAACAUCUUUCCUUCAUUGUUUCUUCUAAAGAUUUAGCUUAAAUUGUAGACAUUUAAUGAUGUCGGAAGACAAAACACAAAUACCCACCCGACCCGGUCCUCGUUUAGUGAAGACCCGACUCAAAUUGUGUUUCGAAUGUGAGCAAUAAAUGCAAAUAAAACAAUUAACAUUUAUAUUUUUCAUCGAAAAGGAUACGAAAUGGUGGUACGAGUUUUUUAGUUAGAAAUAGAAAUCCGGUAAUGACAGUUAGGACUAAGAAAGAAGUUGGUUUAAUAAAUUCGUGUUGGAUUUUAAUUAAAAUUAUUUUACAGGACAAUGACUUCUUCUCCGAUGAUGGGAUACCGAAAAACCCGUUUCCAAACGGAUGGAAAGGAGAGGCGGGAUUGUAUGCGGUAGGGUUCACGAGAAAAGGAUUGUUUGGUGCGUCGCUUGAUGCUAUGAGUGUGGCUCAUGAUAUUGCUAAUAGGUGGAAAGAAGAGUCUAAGCAACAGAAGAAAACUGCUGCUGCUCGUCAUCGUCGAUGUAUUUCACAUUUCUAACUAUCAAAAUCAAAUUUAGGGGGAAAAUAUAUAUUUAAAAAAAGAUAAUUAAGCCCUCUCCUCAGAAGAAAAAUACCCCAAAAAAUAAGAGAAUUGUGAAAAGAAAAUAAAAUUAGGGGGAUUUUUCUUUGUUUUUUAGGAAGAUGUGGCUUUUUUAUGUAAUUUUUAUUGUAAGAGUGCUUUUUUUUGUUCUUGUAUUUUUUUUUCUAUCUUCAUUUUAGAUUUUGAACUCUUGUAAGAAGUUUUGCUUAAUCUAAUAUGACAAAUAUUUUACGAUUCUUGGUAAUUCUCACGAAGCAUGUUGUGUUAGCUCUAUGAUUUUUGUUGUUGUUGCUGUUGAUUAGGAAAAGAAACAACUAAUUUCAUGCUGUUUCAUUAUUGGUAGAAUACUCUCGCAAGUUAGAGCUGUUAUUUAACUGAUUAAGGAAUUAUUAGCCAUUUUGUAAUCAUUAAAUCAGGCAAAUGAUUGAUUGAUUACACAUGAUUGUCCAAGACAAUCCGUAUAAAAGAUUGGGAACACAAGUUGAAUACUGAAACAUGCAUUCCUGUAUGAUAUGCAAAAUCCAUUAGGGAUGACCAGUUUAUCUAUUUUUGGAACACAGAUGGAUAAUAAAUAGUAUAUCGUAACAUUUAAAACAUUCUCAGAAAAAACUUGAGUGAAAUCAUAUAGUAUUAUAUAUGAUGUUUGAUCUAAUUAUAAAUAUAUAUUUUGAAACAGAUACAGAUCCAAAUUAUGCAAUACAUAUAUGUCAAAUUGGAUUUCAAAAUUCAAGGUACCAGAGAGUAGCUUUAUUUCACUAAAUAUAUUAUUAGAAAAAAACGUUUACAUACUCUGUAUAUGGACAAGCCUCUGUUGAAAAAAUUCAACUAUGGUGCAAAAGAUCAGAGACAUUUAUGGGUUUCACUUGAGAUUCUGAGAGUCUCUGCAGCAAAGUCAUUGAACCAGCAGAACAGAGAAUUGACAAACAAAAGGACAAAUUAGAAGAGAGUAAAAUUUGAAGUUUCCAAUUUGUAAAAUAUGGUGAUGAGUGAGUGAGUGGGUGAUGAGUGAGUGAGUGAGUGAUAAGCUUAACCAUGGUUCCUUCUUCUCUGUCCAAACAAAAAAAAAAACAUUAAAAGCUAAUUCCCCCCAACUGUGUAAAUGUCUGGUUCCCAUCCUCUUAAAACAGUUAUUCAUGUUCUCAUGCAAAACCCUGCAACCUUUUACUCAGACAUUACCUUAACCUAAAGAUAUGGAGGAAGGAAACCACAUGGCGUGAUUUCGAUUCAGCCGCCCAUUUAGACUGUUUCUUAUUCUCUGUUCUCUGUCAAAAACACCAAACCAACCCAUCUUUUCUUGCCGGUGUCUUACCAAAUUCACGAGGGAAAUAGUUUUGGAUAUUACUAUCAUACUACAAGUUGAGAAAGAGUAGGACCAAUGUACAUUUACUCACUUGUAGGAUGAAAUAUACAUUUGCAAACUUACAUGAGAAAGGCCUAAAAUGUUCAUUUCCUGGAAAGCAUUUUAUCUAUAUGGCCGUUUUUGUUGUACAUUUCCACUAUCUUUUUGGCAUAUGAUGGCAUGUGGAUGUUGGCUCUGCAGAUGGUAAUGCCGCUUUGGUCAUUAGAGGGUGAUCCAAUAAUAUAGGAAUACAAAGUUGAUAGAAACUUUUAUCUCUAGGAGUGUGUUUCAGAUUUUACCUUUGCUUUCCCCAUUUGCGGUUUACAUGCAAAUAGUUUCUGAUGGUAUGGUAGUCCAAUGAGUAGCGAGCAAAUUCUAGACCCUUAGGACCAACCUGAAGCGAGAAUGCUUUUGCAAGUUAAAAGACUUUUUAUGCAAUGAGCUUGUUUCUCUGUUUGUGUUCAUAAGGAAAGAAUCUUACCAAACUUAGGAUGAACGCAAUAAUGUUUCCAACAAAUAUUGGUGCUGGCUGAGCAGGACCUCGACCUAAGAAAUUAUAGAAAAGUUUGAAAAAUUAGAAGACUUCAGCACAAUGUUAGUUGAAUGCAUUUCCUGAGAACUUUCUUUUCGGCAUCUAGCAUAGCUUGAAACUGAAUGUCUUUGAGUAGAGAUGAUUCAAGAAACAAAAGAGUUUCGAAAAAGUUUGAAAACAUACCAAACUUAGCAUUAUCGUCUGCCUUAACAGUUUCUGUCACAAAAGGUCGCCGAUCACCCUGAAACAACAACAAAAAGAUGAGUUUGUUCAAGUUAUUUGUUAAAUGGAGUUUAAAGUCUUAAAUAUAACAACAACAUAAAUGUUAGAAACUUUACGCUGCUGAUUGUUGGAGUGAUCUCCAAAAGGUUUUCUACCAAGCUGAGCAUUUCUUUCCCGCGUUCAUUUCUGUGGUUUAUGGCAUAAACAAAACUAAUUUUAUCCAACCUCACGGACCUAUAUGGUCCAUGUCAAAAUUAGUAGAAAUAUUGACCUCACUGUAAUAUACUGUGGAUGGUCAGUCAUGUUCAGACCUGAAUACUUCGGAACACCCAUGUAACCGAUAACCAAAUCCUAGAUUAACAAGCUCAUACAUAUAAGGAAAUGUUUGAAAUUGGCAGACUCAAAAUUAAGUGAAAAGAUAACUUAAUUGCUAGAGAAACACUCACCGCUAAUGCAUUUGUGUAAUCAAAGCAGCUGCAAAAUAAAAAAGAAAGGGUUUGUAAUUGUAGAAAAGUUUUACAAAUUUCCUACAGGUAAUCUAUUUGAAGAGACUUAUAUUACCUGUAACACGAUGGAGCUAUGACAUCUACUAAAUCGUUUGCUGGUAGAGAGAAAUAGGGAACCUGCUUUAGCCAAAAAUAUUUAGAAACGGGUUUAAGCUGCAAUUGCAGAGCAACACAGUAUUUUAUGCGAUUUCACCUCUUCAAUGUGUCCAUCCAAGUGUUUGAGUUGGACCUAUAUGAAAUUGAAGAAGAUUAGCAUCACCAAAGAAAAUGCACAGAUAAGUAACGGUAUUGUAUUAAUGCUAACCUUGUAAUCUUGCAUAAAUUCAUAAUGGAGAACAGUCUCUGGCUCCUUACUAGCCGCUUUCAGAAACUUGUCUAGUCCAUCUCGUGUUCCAUUGUCCACUAUUAAUCAAAGAUGCUAUUAUUACUUGUUGAAAACAUGUAUAAGCAUUUCUAGACCUAGGCAUAUGAGACCCGGAAAUAACAUAUACAACAUGGAAUGUUCAAAAGUACAACACAAGAACUAGUUGUGAAAGUUCUGGCCAAAAAAAAAAAUCUAGAUAGGAUGAGAAAAUUACCACAAUUGGUGCCUAGAACAUACAACUUCUCCAGAUUCAGAUGCUGCUCCACUGAUCUCAAUGCUGCAGUAUAAGAAAUCACUCUGCAUUACAAUACUAUUAGAGUCACCGUAUGAAGAAACUUGAAUAUAUGUCCACAAAAAAGUAUGUUGAAACCAUACCUUGCACUUGGCAACCCACACCGCAAAACAGAAGACGUUUCACUCCGGAAGCCUGUUACAAGGCAAGUGCAGUUUCAUUUGAAGUGGACUCAGCGAUCGAUAACACAAACGAGAACGAAGGGUUUGGCAAAUAACCUCGAUUAAUUCAAGAGUAUUCAGAUUAGGAGACAGAGUUGGCUUGACACCUCUUGCAGCCAAAACUUCUUCAGGUGUCCUUAGCAUGAAAAGAAAUAAAACAUCAAGAGGCUUCUAAAUUCAGAGUAACACCAGAAUAUGGAUGCACAACCAAAAUGGCGACUUGUGGAAAACCUGGCUAAUACUGGUCUUGGAGAUAAUCUGUCUUCAGGAUCACUGUAAUUUUUCAAUAACUCAGUUACAUGAGUAGAUGGAAAAAUCUACGGCAUGGUUGAUAAUUGUCAGCCUAGUCCAUUUCUGAAAUCUAGUUUUACCUCUGCACACAAACAACAGCCUCAACCAUGUUAGAUUUCAGCAUCUCAAUGGCUAUGGUUGUGACAAUUCCAGUCCACUGAGCUCCUGCAACCGAAAAUCAAAUGAAAAGUAAACAACAAAGCUAAGCCAAAUUCUCAAGUGUAGGCGGGAAUUCAUCCCUUUUACAGCCACAUGAAACGCAAAUGUUACAUAGCUUUCAAGAUCCAAACAAAAUGGUCUGAAGCUUCUUCCACGCACAUUUAUACAAAAGAAACCAAAACAGAUAUGAACGUUGAUGUACUGUAAACCAGUAACACAAAACUUUUUCAUCUUGAACGAGACACAAAAAAAUGUCCUAGCUUAAUUCGAGCCAAGAAAAGAAGUUAGUAGAAAAUGUGGAACAGUGGAAGGGAAGUGUCUAUGUACCUUCGACAGGCUUCAACUUACGAGCAUAGAGCUGCUCUUGAUGCACCCCAAAAUAUGUAUCUUCUAAGGAAUCUGGUUUCCUUCCUCUACCAUGCACAACAGGCUCCAAGCUCUGCACAAAAACUUAAAAUAUUAACAAAAUAAAAAUCUUAACCCAACAAUUUAAAAUGUAUCAAAUCUUAUCCAUUUAUAUGGACAUUACCUCAAUCCUUGACAUUCCAUCUCCAAGAAAUGCACAUGCCUCCUUCACAUGGGCGAUGUAAUAGGUGUCACAUAACCCGCAUCGACUGCAAACCCAUUAGAACACCAAGGAUUUUGAUAAGAACAAGACAAAAACAGGAAGGUAAACAAAUAAAAAAGAAAGACAAAACCUGCAAUGGUCUUUAGCUGGAUAGGUUCCUCCGGGUGGGAUAGGUUUGGACUUUUCUCUCCAGUCUUCUCUUAGUUUAACUUUCUUUUUUGGCUCUGUAUUCAUAUCUGCAUUGAAACCCAGAUGACAAGGCUUCAUGCAGGCUCCGGGGAGCUAAUAAAAACACACCAGGCAAAAAUCGAUGCGAGAUAAAACGAAAUCUGUUCCUAAAGUCUUAUAUUUUCAAGCAUAAAUUGCUACAGUGAAGUGAAACGUAUUAAUCUAACACAAAAUUCUAUCUUCAGAGUUCAAACUCGAUAGUGACAGCCGUGGAAGACCAGUUCAAGCCUUUGACAAACAUAACCAAUAUGUUUUAAAAGAAAUUCCGAAUCUUACAUAAAAAUUCUAUCCCUUUGACGAAUUUCAGGGAUCGUUUCCAUUGAAAUUUUGUAAAGACGGGUCUUUUAAGAAAUUGAAGAAUCAACGAUGUGUGUGAACAGAGUGCCAAAAAGAGAAGACGUGGCAGAAAGAAAUUGAGCACCUUUGGAACGCGAAGAUGAAGUGUUAACGACAGAGAAGCAUGGAGGAAGGAGAGAGAGCUUGGAGGUGACAGUAAUCAUGGUUGCUCAGCGAGAGAGACGAGAGGAGAGAGAGAGACGAGAGAAAAAAAAAAAGAUAUUUUGCUUUUGAACUUCUGAUAUCUUUUGUUCAUAUAGGCAAAUUAAUUACAGACACCUGUUAGAAAGGAACCAAACUUGAAAACCACUUUAAACCGGGUUUUGGUUCGAAAGACCAAGUUCUGUAUUAUCGUCUUUACUUAACCGAAUUCUAAUUCAUAAACCGAAAACUAAACCACUCUUGCAAGCUUGCUGAUGACACUGUUGUUUUUUUUUUACUCAUUUGCCGAAAAACACACAGAGAUUAAUGUUCAAGCAAAACCAAUACAAGAAGAAUACUGUAUGUUGAAUCAUUCUCUUAUUACCCGAUGGAAAAAAAGAUAUAACAAGAACAUAUCAAUCCUCAGCGAAACAUUCACUCAUUCAUCAUCAUCAUAUGCAUUUGCGAGAAACUACAGAAUCACCAGACAUCAGGACGGAGUUCCCCAGUAGCCGGUGGCAUCCAGCGACCAGAAUUGUACACAUUCUCACCAACUUUCCAUCCCGGAACAUCUUUCAUUACAUCAGCCUCAUAUUCCAGAUACUUUUUCCACUCAGACACAAACCUUUUAUCCAAAGAAUGCAAAACGGGGAUUGAAACAAGAUUACUUUCUGAAGGUUGCUGCAAGCACAAUGACUUAAUUUGAUAAAAUAUUGUUUACCUUUCAUCUUCUUCUGCUUGAAGAAUGGGAAGUAUUGCUCUACGAGCAGCAUAUUUCUCUUCCUUCAAUGCCCUAAACAUCAAAUCGAUCUUGAUAAGAGCAUUAAUCUUGAUACUUACUGAUAACAAAUAACACUUGUACUUAAAUACUUUUUAUCACCACGAUGUGUAAUUGGAAAUUUUCGAUGAGAAUCAAGGAUGUCCAGAACAAGAAAUAUGAAGAUGAUGAUCAAGCCAGAUGAAAGAAGUAUGUAAUAAUACUAACGACUAUCAAUCUAACUACAUAGAACCAGUUCCCGAUAACUACUAUCAAAACAUGCAACUAGAUAAUUGCUUUCUUCAUAGCAGAUUCACAUCUUUGCAAUUGUCGCUUUAAGGGUUUACAGAUUGUUGAUGAACUUAUAUUCGUUAAGGCUAAACUCAUGCUGAUUAAGCUUGAAACCAAAAUGCCGUGGAAUACUACUAGAACACGUAACAGUGAUUCAACAAGCCAUGGAAACAGCAUGAAGAAUGGUUAACAUUAAAUUCCUAAUCCUAACACCAACCUAAAUAUUCACCAUCAUCUUUGAUUACGAUAAACUUCCUCAAGUUUCAACAAUUAAUAACCAAAAUUUAUCCUUUACUACAUUACUAUGAUCAUCAAUCACUCCACAACACUAAUUUUACCAAGGCGAUCUCGAAAGUCAGAGGAAAAAUUGAAAUGUGAGCGAGCUAUUAUAACUUGUUCUUACCUGCGGAUUUUGUUUCCCUGGCCGACCUGGUACAUUCCCCAAGCAAAGGCACCAGAAACGGUAAGGAAAAUGGCCAUAGCACUAGGACCCGUGUUGGAUAUCCGGCGAGCAUAUCGGACCGGUGCGAACCCACCCGGUGGCGGACCAUCCUGAAGCAGCGGCAUAUCCUUCACACUCGCCAUUCCUGGCUUAUUCCUAAUCACCGCCUCCGUCAUCUUCAACGCUCAAUUUCUUCUCGACCAAAUUUACUCUGAUCACUGAAUCCGAUUUUGAUUUUUGCUGAAAUCGAGUGUUCUAGGGAUCCCGAUGAACAACAACAACAAAGAGGACGUAUGAGAUUAAAUGGGCUUUUACUAGGCCCAUCAAGAAAAGUUCAAAGACCCAAGUCCAUAAAUCAGCAAGUCACGUGGAGAGUCACGUGAUUAUCUUCUUCUUCUUACAUAUAAAACGCCCUAACUAGUUGUUGUUCAGAAUGUUUUUAGCCGCCGACUUGGUAUCAUCAAAUCGAGGAGAUUCGAUUUCGAAGAAGCAUGGUGGGAUUUAAGAACAGGUACAUGUUAAUGGAAGUUUUUCUGGAUCCGGACAAAGAUCUUCUCGGGGAAGGAACACCGAUCAUUCUUACACAAUUCAAUCUCUCGAAAGCAAUCAAAGACAGUAUCCUCGUCAAUUUCGGCGAGUGUGGUCUAGGUUCGUCUCUCGGUUCCUUCCAGGUGAAAUAUGUGAAUCCAAUCACGAAGCUAUGCAUCGUAAGAUCAUCAAGAGAGGAACACAGACAAGUUUGGUCGGCAAUCACGUUGGUUAAAAGCAUCGGAAACUGUCCGGUGAUCUUAAACUUGCUCGAUAUCAGCGGUUGCAUCAGAGCGUGUAAAGACACAGCCUUGAAGUGCGACAAAGAGAAGUUUGAGCAGUGUAGCAAAAGCUUGUCUGAAGAGGAGAUUCGGCAGAUGAAUAAUUGUCUGGAGAAGAUCAAACUAUUGGAAAACUGAACUUUUGUAGACUUUUUUUCUUCGAAUUUGACCCCUAAGUUUUUGAAAGUGUAUAAUCUUUCCCCUUUUUGUGGAUUUUUCUCAAUUCUGAAAUACAAAGGGAUGAGAAACAGCAUCAUUCCCUGAAACGAUUGUUUGUGAUUUGAAUCAUUGGUUUUUUUUUUUAUAUGUUGAAAUUAAAAUAAGAGGGUGUGAAUUGAGGAGAUUUGUUCUAAAUAAGCGUAUUUAUGUGAAAUUUGAAAACUUAAGGGCACAAGUGCAAAGUUGUUGAAUUUUGAAGCUUUUAAUAAAUCCAAAAUUUAUAAUCUGGAGAGAACCUAUCUCUGAGGUCCAAACUCUUGGGUGGAGGAGAACUAUUGAAACGGUAUGGGUAAAUCUAGCUCUUCAAAGUCUCUUACUUUACCGAUUACGUACUCUUGUGCGAUCAUUUAUAUUGGUUUUUAUCGGUGAUGUAAUCUUCAAAGUCUCCUUCUUUGUUUAUGCAUGUUAACUGUUCGAUAAAAUGCCUCACAGAGUUUGUAUCCUAGCUCCUCAGAUUUUAUUCUUAACUUUAGCUUAGUUGCCUUUUGGAAAAUUUGUGCUGUGUUAGUCAUGCUUUUAGACCCCCAUCACUAGUAUUAAGUUUGUGUGGAAAAAAGAACAGGAACUAUUUUUGUGUGCGUUGGCUCUAGUAUCUUCAUAGAUAACCUAAAUAGUUAGAGCUAAUUAUGGAUUCUGUGUUAAUGUGCAGGAAAUGAGAUCCCCUAGAACCUUGGAGGUUUGGAAACUAGGCACUGUCAACUAUUUGAAAUCCCUUAAACUGCAAGAGAAAUUAGUUUCAGAGAGAAAAGCUCAUCAUAUUCCAGAUACCCUCCUCUCACUUCAGCAUCCACCAACUUAUACGCUUGGAAAACGUAGAACCGAUCACAAUCUACUGAUCCCUGAAUCUGAACUUACAAAAAUUGGAGCUGAACUUCAUUAUACACAAAGAGGAGGAGACAUCACCUUCCAUGGCCCUCAUCAAGCCAUCUUAUAUCCCAUCAUUUCCUUACGCAGCAUCGGUUUUGGUGCUAGGAACUAUGUGGAGACAUUGGAGAGGUCAAUGAUCGAAUUUGCUUCGAUUUAUGGCGUGAAAGCUCGUGCAGGAAACAAAUGUGAGACUGGGGUUUGGGUUGGGGAUAGGAAGAUCGGUGCUAUUGGGGUUCGGAUAUCUUCUGGAAUAACUAGUCAUGGUUUGGCCUUUAAUAUAGAUCCUGAUUUGAAGUACUUUGAGCACAUUGUGCCUUGUGGGAUUGCUGAUAAAGAAGUUACAUCUUUGCGAAGAGAGACGGAUACUCUGCUUCCUUCGGAAGAAGUGAUUCAUGAACAGUUGGUUUCUUGUUUAGCCAAAGCUUUUUCUUAUGAUGAUGUUGUGUGGAAGGAAGAUCCUUCAGUCAUUUUGGACACCCAAGCUGAAGAAUAAUCCGGUUUUAUCCGGUUCUUAUCUACCAAAAAUGUUAUUAUAUUUUCACGUGCUAUAGAUUCAAAUUUUAUUGUCUUAUUCAUUCUCAAUUUUUCAUUAAUUGUUAUGUCUUCAUCAGGAUCAUAUGAAAUUAUUUCCAAGGAAAACAUUUUUGCUUUUUACCAAGCCUGCAAGCACCAUCAGCUUUGAUAGUCCAAUUACAUAGAUAACAUACAUCUUGAUCUCUCAGAGCAUCAAAUAUAUCAAAUUGUUUUAAUUGCUUAUCCCAUUGAAAAGUGCAAAAGAACAAUGUUGUUUUCCAAAGAUUGGUUUGAAACUUAAAGUGGUAUUCUUGCUUGAAAGGCACCACGUGAGAUCCUAGAUCGUCUUGCUUUGAUUUGCAAUGAACGGUAAGAGGUGGACCGCUUUUUUCUUGAUUUUCAAUCAAGUUUGUCAUUGUGACAACCGUAUCGGGCCAGAACGGUUGGACCCCAUAGCCCGAACCAAAUGAAAGAAAGACGAACAAGAAAACAAUAUAGAUUUUUGGCAGAUUUCUCAUUUGAUAUUUUUUGCUUGUAUUGGUAUGUAUGCGGCUUCUUCAGAUUGUAUGUUCUUGGAGUUGAUUUUAUAGUAUUUACAAUGGCUCAACAUUUUCCUUAUAUAGUUUAUAGUGAUAAUGCCAAUAACCAGACAAACAAGCAAAUCAGUAAAUGAGCAUUUAGUGAGACUAGAUUCGGUUCUUAAUGGAUUGUGUGAAAUUUGUCGUCCAAAGACAAGUACAUUGCAUUUUUCUGUGGUAAUUCGUAUCUUUCACUCCCUUUUUUAUAAGAGGUAAUGCGUUACUAUUUUCAACUUUUCAUGAUUAAUGUUUCUAUUUUUUUUUUAGAUUAUGUUUUAUCUUGUUAAAAGUAUAUUUUGAAGGGAAAAAGAAAAAAAAAGUGGAAAAGGAUAUAAGAGAAAACUUUGUAAAAUUGAGAGAGGAAUGUUUGUUCCUUCUCCAACAACAUCUUUAAAAAAACCGAUUAAGUUAUACUCAUAGAAAAUAUCUUAGUCCGAAGAGCCGAGAGGCUAUUUGUUAUCAUCUUUAGUUAAAACUAUUUGUUAUCAUCUUUAAUUAAAAUAUUUGAUAUAUUAAAAGUUUUUUUUUUUCAUUGCAUAAUAUAAAAGUUUUUACAGCAAAAACCUUGUUGGAUUCAUAUAUACUAAUUACGUUUAAAUAUUCUCUAUUUAUUGAUUUUAUUUAAUUGAUUACUAUUUCAUUAUAACUAUAAUUUGGGUAUUAUGGACGGAUUUUAACUAAAAGGCGCCCAAAACUAGUAGUGUUCGAACACGUGUCUAAAUCACGUGACAUGAUCGCGGACUGGGAAUUGACCACCGUUAAGAGUUUUCUCCGGUCCACGGCAGCUCACCGAAACCGGUGGAUCAAUCACCGAUGUUGAGGUCGUCACCAUAUAUAUCAGAGCGGAAUGUGAAGCGCCGCCGUCGCAAAGGAAGUCGGAAAAUCGAAAACCCUAAACAUGAAAGGUUAUGAAACAAAAUCUAUAAAUUUUUCAAAGAAAAUGAAAUUAUAAGCAGGAGUAAAAUAAAACCGUCCUCUUUGUCAUAGAUUAGCAAAUACUGUCAAGUCUGAUUUGGUUGAAAUUACAAAGUUGAGAAAGAAAAAAACUGGAAAAUUAAAACAAGGAAGAAAGUACGAACGACGUAACAUAAAACAAAACGGAAUCAAAAGCAAAUAAACCCAAACUGAAGCGAAGCAAACAACGAGGAGGAGGACGCAGGCGUUUCAACAGCAGAAUGUUGCGGCUUCGACCAGAGCCUUGGUAACGGGAUCAUCAGGUUUUGUUGAAAGAGCAAAGAGAGCCAUGGUCGUGAGAGCGUUAGCAGCCGCAGGAUUGUUACUCGUAGAUAGUGCAGCGAUGAAAUCUGUGGUCUGCUUGUCUUUGAUCUCACCGAAUUUGGGAUCGUCUAGAUUGUCGUCAUAACAAAUAGCGAAGACACCUCCAAGAGCCACCAUGGCACAAGUAACCGCAAUAAAAACCCAAAAAGCAGUUUUAUCAAAGAUCAGAGCCCAAAGACACACAUAAGCAGCCACAAGACUCAGUUCAUCGAAAAUGCUGAUUCCGGCAACGUCGAGGAGAGGUGUGUCGUCCUCCAUGUAAGUCCCCGGAUUGGCCAUGAAAAAGAGCAUCAAAAUGGUGAGUAAACUCAUGGUGAGGGUGCUGUUUUUGAUUGACCACUUCUCGUACUGCUCGUCGGUGUAGAAACUCUUGCUCAAUGAUGAACAUCGAUCUCGUACUGCUCGUCGGUUUAUAAACGCCAUUGUUAUGCACAGAGAAAACGAACGAAAGAGAGUAAAAAAGCAAAAGCAGAGAAGAAAACAAAACUUAAAAUUU